UUUUAGGUGGCCGAGGUGAUAGGCAUUAGAUUUUUAAUUUAAUUACGGUUUUAUUGUUCAUGACCCCUAAAAG
rnacentral:tRNA from 1 species